rnacentral:rRNA from 1 species
AGGAAGUAAAAGUCGUAACAAGGUCUCCGUUGGUGAACCAGCGGAGGGAUCAUUACUGAGUUUACGCUCUACAACCCUUUGUGAACAUACCUAUAACUGUUGCUUCGGCGGGUAGGGUCUCCGCGACCCUCCCGGCCUCCCGCCUCCGGGCGGGUCGGCGCCCGCCGGAGGAUAACCAAACUCUGAUUUAACGACGUUUCUUCUGAGUGGUACAAGCAAAUAAUCAAAACUUUUAACAACGGAUCUCUUGGUUCUGGCAUCGAUGAAGAACGCAGCGAAAUGCGAUAAGUAAUGUGAAUUGCAGAAUUCAGUGAAUCAUCGAAUCUUUGAACGCACAUUGCGCCCGCCAGCAUUCUGGCGGGCAUGCCUGUUCGAGCGUCAUUUCAACCCUCAAGCUCUGCUUGGUGUUGGGGCCCUACAGCCGAUGUAGGCCCUCAAAGGUAGUGGCGGACCCUCCCGGAGCCUCCUUUGCGUAGUAACUUUACGUCUCGCACUGGGAUCCGGAGGGACUCUUGCCGUAAAACCCCCCAAUUUUCCAAAGGUUGACCUCGGAUCAGGUAGGAAUACCCGCUGAACUUAAGCAUAUCAUAA